rnacentral:rRNA from 1 species
GACGAACCGGAGCGAACGUUGUUCGGAAUCACUGGGCUUAAAGGGCGCGUAGGCGGGUGCUCAAGUCUGUGGUGAAAUCCUCCGGCUCAACCGGAGAACUGCCAUGGAUACUGGGUGCCUCGAGGGUGGUAGGGGUAUGCGGAACUAUCGGUGGAGCGGUGAAAUGCGUUGAUAUCGAUAGGAACUCCGGUGGCGAAGGCGGCAUACUGGACCACUUCUGACGCUGAGGCGCGAAAGCCAGGGGAGCGAACGGG